UGAAUGAGUGCUUGUUUGCAGUGCCCUGG
rnacentral:piRNA from 1 species